rnacentral:rRNA from 1 species
UACGAAGGGGGCUAGCGUUGCUCGGAUUUACUGGGCGUAAAGGGCGCGUAGGCGGACAGUUUAGUCAGAGGUGAAAGCCCAGGGCUCAACCUUGGAAUUGCCUUUGAUACUGGCUGUCUUGAGUACGGGAGAGGUGAGUGGAACUCCGAGUGUAGAGGUGAAAUUCGUAGAUAUUCGGAAGAACACCAGUGGCGAAGGCGACUCACUGGCCCGUUACUGACGCUGAGGCGCGAAGGCUAGGGGAGCGAACGGG